AUCCGGGAUAAAACUGCGAAAGCGGUGCUAAUACGGGAUGAGCUUCUUUUUGCUUUGGCAUGAGGGAGGAAAGGCGGUCUCUGCGAGCAAGCCGCCGUCCGGGGAUGAGCCCGCAUCCCAUUAGUUUGUUGGCGGGGUAACGGCCCACCAAGACAUUGAUGGGUAGCUGGUCUGAGAGGAUGAUCAGUCACACCGGAACUGGAACACGGUCCGGACUCCUACGGGAGGCAGCAGUGAGGAAUUUUGCGCAAUGGGCGGAAGCCUGACGCAGCAACGCCGCGUGAGUGAAGAAGGCCUUCGGGUCGUAAAACUCUGUCGGGCGGGAAGAAACUGUGCGGCAGCAACAUGGCCGUGCACUGACGGUACCGCCGAAGGAAGCACCGACCAACUCCGUGCCAGCAGCCGCGGUAAUACGGAGGGUGCAAGCGCUAUUCGGAAUUAUUGGGCGUAAAGGGCGCGCAGGCGGUUCCGCAAGUCGGAUGUGAAAGCCCGGGGCUUAACCCCGGAAGUGCAUUUGAUACUGCGGGACUUGAGUAUGGGAGAGGAAAGCGGAAUUCCUGGUGUAGCGGUGAAAUGCGUAGAUAUCAGGAGGAACACCGGUGGCGAAGGCGGCUUUCUGGACCAAUACUGACGCUGAGGUGCGAAGGCGUGGGGAGCAAACAGGAUUAGAUACCCUGGUAGUCCACGCAGUAAACGGUGAUCACUUGGUGUGGCGGGUAUUUACCCCUGCCGUGCCGAAGCAAACGUAUUAAGUGAUCCGCCUGGGAAGUACGAUCGCAAGAUUAAAACUCAAAAGGAAUUGACGGGGGGCCCGCACAAGCGGUGGAGCAUGUGGGUUUAAUUCGACGCAACGCGAAGAACCUUUACCCGGGGUUUGACAUCUGGCGGAACCCGCUGGAAACAGGGGGGGUGCCCUUCCGGGGAGCC
rnacentral:rRNA from 1 species